CGCAGCCGCGGUAAUUCCAGCCCCAAUAGCGUAUAUUAAAGUUGUUGCAGUUAAAAAGCUCGUAGUUGAAUUUCGGGAUCAAUAUAUCGGUCGUGCCUCCGGUACGUACUGGUAUCGUUGAUUCCUACCUUCUGACGAACCAUGAUGUCAUUAAUUUGGUGUCAUGGGAAAUCAGGACUGUUACUUUGAAAAAAUUGAGUGUUUAAAGCAGGCACACGCUUGAAUACAUUAGCAUGGAAUAAUGAAAUAGGACGUUUGACCCUAUUUUGUUGGUUUCUAGGAUCGACGCAAUGAUUAAUAGGGAUAGUUGGGGGCAUUAGUAUUCAAUUGUCAGAGGUGAAAUUCUUGGAUUUAUUGAAGACUAACUACUGCGAAAGCAUUUGCCAAGGAUGUUUUACAUUAAUCAAGAACGAAAGUUAGGGGAAUCGAAGACGAUCAGAUACCGUGUAGACCUUAACCAUAAACUAUACGACCGACGUAGGGAUCGGAUGGUAUUAGUUUAAUUUUUUAUGACUUCACG
rnacentral:rRNA from 1 species